CUGCUAAUGGAUGGCAACUGGCAGCUUGAAAAACAGUGAUGUAAUCUAGUAUGCCCACAUGACAGGUCAGAAAGCUGAGGCCCUGAAAUGGGAAGCCAUCUCCCCUUCAUGAAAGGGGAAGUCACGGAGUUGAAGCAGAUCUUAGCCCAGAAGCCGGGUCUCAGAUCCUGGUCACCGACAGGCUAUGUUAUGUGCACUUAUGUAGGAGCUCAGCUCUGGCAGCAGGACAUGGUGGAAAGGGCACUGCUGAGACCUAGCUGGCUCUGCGAUGGAUUCACUGUGUUUCUGAGAUGUGCUUCUUUGCUGACACUGCUGACAGCUGGAUACAGCUACACUGAGAAACACGAGACCCGAGUCCUGUCUGCUUUGGCUUUACGGGUGGCGACGGAUGUGUAAAAGAAACGCAAACACAAACAAGGCAAAGCUUGUCCUCUGCCUAAGGAGAUGCGAUGUCCAGCUGCACUGAACACCCUGCCCAUUAUUCAGAGCUACAUUCCAAUGAUGUUCUACCCCAAGAAUAUGCUAGAGGGACCCAACCACCACUGAGAAAGAGCCGCCUCUGGCUAGCACCCUAAAAUAGGAAGUCUGGCCUUCAGAGCCCCCAAGGCAGGCAGCUGUCCUGGCCGGACACUCUGGCUUGGCAGGCUGGCCCAGGGGAAGCACAGGCUUCUGGCAAGGACCUGAUGGAGAAGAUGCCAUG
rnacentral:lncRNA from 1 species